GUUGACGGUAUCCAACCCUUGUAAAACAUUGAAUAUUGACUUUUUACCUAAGUCAAAGAUGUGUGGUCUAUAGAUGUAGUUGGUCAAUUUCCAGCCAUCUAAACUGAUUGGUGUUCAUUCAACUUGUCCAUCUUGGUUAGAAGUGAUUCAACCUGACUCCUUGUCAUUAGCACCUCAUUUGAUGUGACUUUCUUUAUUUACUAGCUCCUUUGACUG
rnacentral:misc_RNA from 1 species